GGUCUAUGGAUCUUCUAGGUACUGCCUUCUGUCUCAAAAGACUUGGGAUAAGAGUGAAGAAAGCAAGUUUCCCUCUGCCAUUAGUUGAAUGCUCCUUAAGCGGCUCAACCACAGAACUCCAGUACCUUGCCUCUGACAGCUUGCCAUGAAGCAUUUGAGCUAAAUGAGUCUUCAUAAAAGCAACUCCAUCCAUGUUGUCUGACACAGCAGGCAACAGAUGCUAUAUUGUGCUAGAAGACAGCAUAUUCUUUGGAUUCCAAAACAAGUUAAAAAAUAUUAAACACUGCAUAAAUAA